GAUGAACGCUGGCAGCGUGCCUAAUACAUGCAAGUCGAGCGAACGGACGAGAAGCUUGCUUCUCUGAUGUUAGCGGCGGACGGGUGAGUAACACGUGGAUAACCUACCUAUAAGACUGGGAUAACUUCGGGAAACCGGAGCUAAUACCGGAUAAUAUUUUGAACCGCAUGGUUCAAAAGUGAAAGACGGUCUUGCUGUCACUUAUAGAUGGAUCCGCGCUGCAUUAGCUAGUUGGUAAGGUAACGGCUUACCAAGGCAACGAUGCAUAGCCGACCUGAGAGGGUGAUCGGCCACACUGGAACUGAGACACGGUCCAGACUCCUACGGGAGGCAGCAGUAGGGAAUCUUCCGCAAUGGGCGAAAGCCUGACGGAGCAACGCCGCGUGAGUGAUGAAGGUCUUCGGAUCGUAAAACUCUGUUAUUAGGGAAGAACAUAUGUGUAAGUAACUGUGCACAUCCUGACGGUACCUAAUCAGAAAGCCACGGCUAACUACGUG
rnacentral:rRNA from 1 species